GAGUUUGAUCAUGGCUCAGAUUGAACGCUGGCGGCAGGCCUAACACAUGCAAGUCGAGCGGUAGCACAGAGAGCUUGCUCUCGGGUGACGAGCGGCGGACGGGUGAGUAAUGUCUGGGAAACUGCCUGAUGGAGGGGGAUAACUACUGGAAACGGUAGCUAAUACCGCAUAACGUCGCAAGACCAAAGUGGGGGACCUUCGGGCCUCAUGCCAUCAGAUGUGCCCAGAUGGGAUUAGCUAGUAGGUGGGGUAAUGGCUCACCUAGGCGACGAUCCCUAGCUGGUCUGAGAGGAUGACCAGCCACACUGGAACUGAGACACGGUCCAGACUCCUACGGGAGGCAGCAGUGGGGAAUAUUGCACAAUGGGCGCAAGCCUGAUGCAGCCAUGCCGCGUGUAUGAAGAAGGCCUUCGGGUUGUAAAGUACUUUCAGCGAGGAGGAAGGCAUUAAGGUUAAUAACCUUAGUGAUUGACGUUACUCGCAGAAGAAGCACCGGCUAACUCCGUGCCAGCAGCCGCGGUAAUACGGAGGGUGCAAGCGUUAAUCGGAAUUACUGGGCGUAAAGCGCACGCAGGCGGUCUGUCAAGUCGGAUGUGAAAUCCCCGGGCUCAACCUGGGAACUGCAUUCGAAACUGGCAGGCUAGAGUCUUGUAGAGGGGGUAGAAUUCCAGGUGUAGCGGUGAAAUGCGUAGAGAUCUGGAGGAAUACCGGUGGCGAAGGCGGCCCCCUGGACAAAGACUGACGCUCAGGUGCGAAAGCGUGGGGAGCAAACAGGAUUAGAUACCCUGGUAGUCCACGCCGUAAACGAUGUCGACUUGGAGGUUGUGCCCUUGAGGCGUGGCUUCCGGAGCUAACGCGUUAAGUCGACCGCCUGGGGAGUACGGCCGCAAGGUUAAAACUCAAAUGAAUUGACGGGGGCCCGCACAAGCGGUGGAGCAUGUGGUUUAAUUCGAUGCAACGCGAAGAACCUUACCUACUCUUGACAUCCAGAGAACUUAGCAGAGAUGCUUUGGUGCCUUCGGGAACUCUGAGACAGGUGCUGCAUGGCUGUCGUCAGCUCGUGUUGUGAAAUGUUGGGUUAAGUCCCGCAACGAGCGCAACCCUUAUCCUUUGUUGCCAGCGGUCCGGCCGGGAACUCAAAGGAGACUGCCAGUGAUAAACUGGAGGAAGGUGGGGAUGACGUCAAGUCAUCAUGGCCCUUACGAGUAGGGCUACACACGUGCUACAAUGGCAUAUACAAAGAGAAGCGACCUCGCGAGAGCAAGCGGACCUCAUAAAGUAUGUCGUAGUCCGGAUUGGAGUCUGCAACUCGACUCCAUGAAGUCGGAAUCGCUAGUAAUCGUAGAUCAGAAUGCUACGGUGAAUACGUUCCCGGGCCUUGUACACACCGCCCGUCACACCAUGGGAGUGGGUUGCAAAAGAAGUAGGUAGCUUAACCUUCGGGAGGGCGCUUACCACUUUGUGAUUCAUGACUGGGGUGAAGUCGUAACAAGGUAACCGUAGGGGAACCUGCGGUUGGAUCACC
rnacentral:rRNA from 1 species